ensembl:lncRNA
CUGUUUGGAGAUCACUCCUCUUGGAGCCCUUCUGUGAGCCCAGGACACGGGUGUGAAGAUUUCCCACAAGGAGCAUUUCUGAGACCAUCUAUAGCAGUGAUUGAGGGGUCUAGAGGAAUAAAAGAGCCCUGCAAGUAUAAGAUGAAUUAUAAGAUACUCAAACCCACUUUCAUGAAAGAGAGAUUCAUAUUCCUGGAGGUGUAGUACUUUGAGAUACAGUAGAAGCAGUCUCUGAAACUCUACCCUGUCUUCUGGCUCCACUUGACACCAAAAGCCUUUCACCAGCCUGGCUGAGACAUAGCAAACCCCAAAGAUUUUCCUUGUUUGUGCUCCCUGAGCACACUUACGGUUUGGUGAAGCAGUUCAUUCAGGGUGUGCAAGAAGGAACAGAAGAAAGUUAACAUCAAGCCACGCUCUCUCUUCUUUCAAAGUGUCCUAUGUGGAGAACAGGAUACCACAGGAUUUUUCUGCCUUUGGCUGAAGUUUUCCACCUUUCCUGGCAAGUUUCCAGCAGUAGCAGUAGAUUUGUUCAGUUGAAUUUUAUGUUCACUAAGAAAUCAAAGCUGGACUUGGGUAAGCAAUUAAGAUUCACUUUUUUUUUGAGAGAAUGAUGAGAAUUUUGUAUUAAGGAACAGAUCUGCACCAUAUUUAUGAACAUCCAAAGACUGCUGAAAAUACAAGAAUUAGAAGAGUAAUUCUAUGGCAGAUCAGACUAUGGCUGAGGCCUUUCAAUGUGGCAACUCAUUUGAGAGCAUCACUGACAAAAGAAAGGGCUUUUAGGGAAUUUUUAACUAUGUACCAAGUGAAGUGUGGACCCUAAGCAUGUAUGAUUAAUUGCUUGCUUGCUCUUUCUUCCAUUAUUUUCUUCCUUAACUCUUCACCUGUUUACAUAUCCUGCUUUCAUAGUUUACAACUGUGCACAGCAUGAAUAAAGCAAGUUCUGGUU